AUUGACUACAUGCUGAAAGCACUAUGGCAUGGAAUAUAUAUGCCCAAAGAAAAACGAGCUAGAUUCUCUGAAUUGUGGCGUGCCAUCAUGGACAUUGAUCCUGAUGGAAAACCUCAAACAAAUAAAGACAUUUUUUCAGAGUUUAGUUCAGCAGGUUUGACUGAUAUUACAAAGGAUCCAGACUUUAAUGAAAUCUAUGAUGAAGACGUGAAUGAAGAUCCAACAUAUGAUCCCAAUAGCCCUGAAGAAACAGCUGUAUUUAUGAAAUAUGCUGAAAAUAUUAUGCUAAAGUUAACAUUCAGUACCACACAAAUUCAACAGUAUGAAAAUGUCUUUAUAUUUGAAACAGGCUAUUGGCUUACUAAUGCUAUAAAAUAUAACCAGGAUUAUCUUGAUAUCUGUACCUACCAGAGACUACAGCAAAGAUUAUAUCUUCAAAAAAAGAUUAUUCAAAAACACUUUGAGAAGAAAAAAGAUAUCAGAAGAGGGAUAGGAUACCUAAAGUUAAUAUGUUUUCUGAUUCCAUUUCUACUGAGUUUAAAGAAGAAAAUGAAAGUUCCAUAUUUAAGUAGUCUGCUUCAGCCUUUUUCAGAUGACAAGGUCAAGACAGAGCGAGAAUUGCCUCCAUUUAUUUAUGGAAGAGAUUUUAAAUGCCAGAAUUUUCACUACAAAGAGAAUCAAUAUUUUCAUGUUCAUGGAGGAAUUGAAUUUGAUAUCAGCACCCCUUCAAUUGAGAAUGCCUUGGAAGAUUUUCAGGUUUAAAUGAUCAUUCCUUAGACAAUUUAUCAUUUCACAACUCUUUUAUCCUAUUCUCCAACCAAAAAGAGCCUCUGUUGGUACAGGCACUCGACAGCUCUCCAAAUGAUUAUUCUCAUAACUCAAUAAUUUUUUCAUACAUUAUUUUAACAUCAAUGAAUUAAGUGCAGAUAUAUGUAAGGUAUUGUGUUGGAUAUCUGAGAUAAAAUUAUAAAUAAGCUAGGUACAUCUAUCAUCCUCACAGAAUUUAAAGACUUCUAAUGGACUAUAUUUGUCCCAGAAUAGGUAACCAAAGAGUGCAGUAGAAAUCUCUGGACACUCAGUACACAUUCUUCCAUUGUCCUCAAAGAAUCAGGAUUAGAACAGAGAUCCUUUAAAAUUUUGGAACAGUAAUUCUUCACCUGGAAUUUAGUAUAAAAAUUCUACAUUUC
rnacentral:sRNA from 1 species